AUUCCUAUGAAUCUCUCUCAACUCUCUUUCUAAACACACAUAUACACAAUGGUGGGAAGGGAUCAGAUUUUCUCCCCCUCUCAAAUUCGCCGGCGAGUUUAGCUUCCGGUAGCCCCUCUUCCUCUCCCUCCUCAUCGUUUCUUCAUCCCCAUCUUUUCACAAGCUUUUCCCGUCUUCUUUUUCACAAAUUUCGGUACCUUUUCCCUGCUGGAUUUGCUGAAGAAGCACUGCAGCGAGAUGCAGCGUUGCUUCCAGACGUUUCUGUGGGUCAGCAUCGGGAUCAUCUUGCUCGGCAGUUUGAAGUUGUUGCUGCUGCUGGUAUCCAGGUUGAUUGAGGUUUCCUCCUGAUGGUUUAUACUCUCCGGAGCUCGAGUGUCCCUGUUGGCUGAGAAGAGACGACGCCGGCUGAGCAAGUUCCGGUGGGAGACCUGCAACAGGCGAUGGU